GUGUUUGCUCGGGCAGCACAUAUGAUAAUUGGAAUCGAUACAGAGAAGAUUAGCAUGGCCCCUACAAAAGGAUGACACGCAAAUUUGUGAAGCGUUUCCACAUUUU
rnacentral:snRNA from 1 species